rnacentral:rRNA from 1 species
AUUGCCCUAGUAACGGCGAGUGAAGCGGCAACAGCUCAAAUUUGAAAUCUGGCUCUCUUUGGGGGUCCGAGUUGUAAUUUGCAGAGGAUGCUUUGGCAUUGGCGGCGGUCUAAGUUCCUUGGAACAGGACAUCGCAGAGGGUGAGAAUCCCGUACGUGGGCGCCUGCCUUUGCCGUGUAAAGCUCCUUCGACGAGUCGAGUUGUUUGGGAAUGCAGCUCUAAAUGGGAGGUAAAUUUCUUCUAAAGCUAAAUACCGGCCAGAGACCGAUAGCGCACAAGUAGAGUGAUCGAAAGAUGAAAAGUACUUUGGAAAGAGAGUCAAAAAGCACGUGAAAUUGUUGAAAGGGAAGCGCUUGCAGCCAGACUUGCCCGCAGUUGCUCACCUAGGCUUUGGCCUGGGGCACUCUUCUGCGGGCAGGCCAGCAUCAGUUUGGGCGGUUGGAUAAAGGCCUCUGUCACGUAUCUCCCUUCGGGGUGACCUUAUAGGGGAGGCGCAAUGCAACCAGCCCGGACUGAGGUCCGCGCAUCUGCUAGGAUGCUGGCGUAAUGGCUGUAAGCGGCCCGUCUUGAAACACGGACCAAGGAGUCUAACAUCUAUGCGAGUGUUUGGGUGUCAAGCCCGGGCGCGCAAUGAAAGUGAACGGAGGUGGGAACCCUUUGGGUGCACCAUCGACCGAUCCUGAUGUCUUCGGAUGGAUUUGAGUAAGAGCAUAGCUGUUGGGACCCGAAAGAUGGUGAACUAUGCUUGAAUAGGGUGAAGCCAGAGGAAACUCUGGUGGAGGCUCGCAGCGGUUCUGACGUGCAAAUCGAUCGUCAAAUUUGGGCAUAGGGGCGAAAGACUAAUCGAACCAU